CGGCUCAUCACAUCCUGGGGCUGAACAAGGUCCCCAGGGUUUGGCUGUCCGCCAAUUAAAGUGGUACGCGAGCUGGGUUUCGAACGUCGUGAGACAGUUCGGUCCCUAUCUGCCGUGGGCGUAGGAUAUUUGAGGAGAGCUGUCCCUAGUACGAGAGGACCGGGAUGGACAAACCUCUAGUGUACCAGUUGUCUCGCCAGAGGCAUCGCUGGGUAGCUAUGUUUGGCAGGGAUAAGCGCUGAAAGCAUCUAAGUGCGAAGCCCACUCCAAGAUAAGAUAUCCCGUGGGGUAACCCACCUGAAGGCUCCUUGUAGACCACGAGGUCGAUAGGUCGCAGGUGCAAGCACAGUAAUGUGUUCAGCCGAGCGAUACUAAUCAGCCGUGAGGCUUGAUCAA
rnacentral:rRNA from 1 species